CACGCCGUACACUAUGCGCGUUAGGUGUAUCGGUGACCACGAGUUACCGAGGUGCCGAAGGGAAACCGUGAAACGUGCCGCCUGGGAAGUACGGUCGCAAGGCUGAAACUUAAAGGAAUUGGCGGGGGAGCACCACAACAGGUGGAGCCUGCGGUUUAAUUGGACUCAACGCCGGGAAGCUCACCGGAUAGGACAGACAUAUGAUAGUCGGGCUGAAGACUCUACUUGAUGAUCUGAGAGGAGGUGCAUGGCGUCAGUG
rnacentral:rRNA from 1 species